AUACGUAGGUGGCAAGCGUUGUCCGGAAUUAUUGGGCGUAAAGCGUACGCAGGCGGUUUCUUAAGUCUGAUGUGAAAGCCCACGGCUCAACCGUGGAGGGUCAUUGGAAACUGGGGAACUUGAGUACAGAAGAGGAGAGUGGAAUUCCACGUGUAGCGGUGAAAUGCGUAGAGAUGUGGAGGAACACCAGUGGCGAAGGCGACUCUCUGGUCUGUAACUGACGCUGAGGUACGAAAGCGUGGGGAGCGAACAGGAUUAGAUACCCUGGUAGUCCACGCCGUAAACGAUGAGUGCUAAGUGUUAGAGGGUUUCCGCCCUUUAGUGCUGCAGCAAACGCAUUAAGCACUCCGCCUGGGGAGUACGGUCGCAAGACUGAA
rnacentral:rRNA from 1 species